GAUGAAGAACGCAGCGAAAUGCGAUAAGUAAUGUGAAUUGCAGAAUUCAGUGAAUCAUCGAAUCUUUGAACGCACCUUGCACCCUUUGGUAUUCCGAAGGGUAUGCUCGUUUGAGUGUCAUUGUACUCUCACACUUCUAAUUCCUUUCGGGAUUGGGAGCGGUGGACUUGGGUGUUGCUGCUUUAGUUGUGGCUCACCUCAAAUAAGUUAGUACAACUCUUGGUUGGACAUAGUACGGCGUGAUAAGUGUCUUCGCCGGCGCCUCUGUAAGGAGGGUGGCCGAUCGGGAGCUCUGUGCUUCAAACCGUCUUCGGACAAUCUUUGACAACUUGACCUCAAAUCGAGUAGGACUACCCGCUGAACUUAAGCAUAUCAAUAAGCGGAGGA
rnacentral:misc_RNA from 1 species